rnacentral:lncRNA from 1 species
AAAAAAAAAAAGUGUACUUCCAAAUUAUUCUCACUCAGUAAUUCUGGUAAAAUAUACAUAAUUUAUUUAAACUAUAAAUUAAUUUGUUUUGACUAUUCAAUCUCUUAAAAUUAUAAUUUUACUAUCCAGCUUUACAAUUUGUUUGAUUCGAGUUAGCCAACAGCAAUUGACUUUAAAUUUAAAUAUUAUCAAAGUAUCUUUGAUUGACUCGAUCAAAUAAAUAAAAAUUUAAAUAUAAAUUAAUUUUUUAAAAAAGUUUUGUAGUAGGCUCUAAAUAGCCAGAGUUUAGAUAAAUUUUGUAUGAGGCCUUUUUUUGCAUUAGCCUCCUGGUAAAUUUUUUAUUUUAAAUUAGCUGUCAAAAUUUAAUUGCAAAAAAUGACCCUAGGUCUGCCACGCAGGCGCCCGUCAGCGUCACGCGGGCAAAACCGUGUGUUAAGUUGAACACGGUGAACCAUUCACGUGUUCAAUACGGGUGAAAGAUUUCUCGUGUUUAGUACGUUUUUUGUAUAUUAAAAUACGAUAGAUAGUAGGGAUGUCAAUAGGAUGAAUAUCCGAUAUUAUCGAAUCCAAACCCGAAUAAAUUAUAUAUAUAUACAUAAUUUAUUUUAUUUAUAUUAUAAAUAUUAUAAAUAUUUAAUAAUUUUUAUUUCUUAAAUUCUUCAUUCAACGAUAUAGAUUUUUUUAAAAUCCGCUGGGUUUCAGUUUCGGUUUUCGAGUUUUUGGUCGGUAUGGAUAUAGGUUUUGAAUUUUUAAAAUCGUCAGGUUCGGCAUCCCGGUUUGAAUUUUAUUGAUUUCGGGUUUGCGGUUAGGAUUUUUGAAAAGAGAGAAAGGAAUACAAAUUCUUAUUCUUUUUUCAAUAUACAAAAAAUACGUACUAAACGCGGUGAACCAUUCAUCGUAUUUAGACAUGGUAAAUGAUUCACCGUGUUUAACUUAACACGUCCCCAGUCCAUCCCAGUUGGCAUUGACGUGACGCCGCGUGGCGUCUAGGGUCAUUUUUGCAAAUUAAAUUUUUGACAGGAUUAUUUUUAAAUAAUAAUUUGUCGGGGGCUAAAUGCAAAAAAAGUCCUUUUGUAGGGUUAUUACCCAAAUUUUGGGCAGAUAAAAAAAAAAAAGAUUUAAAGACACAAUUGUUUUUUUUUUUUUGAGAGAUAGUAGCCAGCUAUCGCUUUAUUUAUUUAAUUUAGAUAAUAACUUAGCUGUAAUUGAAAUCAACUAGGAUUCGAACUUGGGUCUUAAGUACACCGCAAUUCUUUGACACUUGCUCUAGGAUAGAAUAAACUCUCUCUCUCUCUCUUUCCAAGUCGUAGCUGCAGUCGAUGUUGUGAGAUGGUAUUUUCGACCCGCACGCGACCACCCACCUCGGCCUCCGUGCGCCGCCGCCGUCGUAUGCCGCCGCUCCUUUCUCCUACCUCUCUAACCCAACCCUAACCUAAUCGCUAACCCUAAACCUAAUUUUUCAUCGACCUCCUACAACGCUUCGAUCCCCCCUCCGACGCCGUGCGGACCACUACGCCGGCCGGCCGCGCCGCCGGCCGCCGCCGCCGCGGCCUACGAUGGGCUCUACCGCCUCUUACCCGUUGCGGCGGCGGCGGCGGCGCCCCCGGCGGGUCCGGCGGUGGCGCCGGCGACGGGGGUGGGACUCGCUUCGUUCUACGGGGCCAUGGGAGGGAACUCGGCUGGGGCGCACGGUGCGGUCGGUUCAAAUGUGAGUGACCUCCUUCCACAAUUCUUGGAUUCGAAGCUUAAUUUCUGGGAGUUUUUUUUUUUUUUAGUAUUUAGGAAAAAUUUACCAAUUUUUCUCUCUCCAAGAUUUGUAGGGUAGAUGCAAAAAUACUACUAAUUUUCUGAUCAAUCCCGGUGCUUAGGUUUCAAUUAUGUAUUAAACAUUAAUAGAAUCAAUUAUCUCAUAUGCAAGAUGAUCCCCAUCAUGUGCAAACAACAAACCUAUUUAAUCUUCAUCAAAUGGUUAAAUUAUGAUUUAAUUGUUGUGGCCUUGUGUCAAAUUUGAUUCCUACUCACAAACUACAGAACUAAAUUAUGUUUUCUGAUGCUAAUGGCGUAAACUCUUUAUGUUUAAGAAUAAAAAGUUGGAUUUUUUUAGUUUGCUUUGAGCAGUGUUCAAAUGGGUCUGAUAUUACAGAGUGUCUGCUUUUUCUGUCAAAACUGGCUCAAUUUUAUGUAGUGCUGAACUUAAUUGAACUAAAUCAAUUAAUUGUAGGAUUUACUGCCAUGGAAUGGAAACCGUGUCAUUUCCAUCUUGCGGUAAUCUGGGGAUAGUUUCUUGGUCUUCAGUCAAUUUGUGCCGUUUGUCUAAGCUCAGCGACAAGAAAUUACGCUUUACUAUUGCGUAACAAAUAUUGUAUGAGUAUACAAACUGUCUUUCUAAAUACAGUCUCAUCAAGAAGAGAGGUUUCGACGGUGGAGAGUUUGUUUAGUAGGUUACCCACUUAUAGAUGACAACGUGUAACAUGUCAAGUUCCUUUGUCAACUUCCUCUCUAAACAUUCUCAUUUACGCAUUUACAAAAGUUUUUGUUCUCAUUUUCAUGGACCUUGAAGUUUAGGAAGCUAAUGAACCAGUGGAUUGUUUCAAUUGUCGUACUCUUUAUGGUGCUGCUGUAAUGAUCAGCCUGUAGGAGUCAAUUCCACUGACGCUAGUUCUUCUCUUUCACUUGCUACUAUUUUCUUGAGCAAUUCCUUGAUUAUUUCUGGAAGAGCAUAUAAACAAAUAAUUCUUCCACUUUUGUUUUUUUUUUUGGUCUAGAUUUGUUAAAAUAAAAGAAAGGAAGGAAGUUUUGCAAAUUGUCUUACUCAGGCAUUAAUCCUGUGAUAUUUUUCCAAUCAUUACGAAUGAUUUGAUGCUUCCUCUAAAUAUUUAUAUCACUUUAGACCGACUUAAUACGCAACUCUCAAAUCACUCUUCUGUAACUCUUCCUUCCUUAUGGUUGGGAUGACAAUAUAUCUAGGCUUGGCUAAUGGUGUGAAGAUGUAUGUUUUUAUGAAUUAAUUUCAUGAUGCAACUUAAAGUUGGAGUGCUUAUAUUUACUUUUUUCAAUUUGUAUUUUCUGUAAUAUGGCAUCACUUUUCACUAAUGCAUGUCUUGUAGCAAUCCUGUGGCUAUCAUAUGCACGAUAGGUUCUUGGGUUGGGUAUACAUAUGUUCUCUGCAAAGGUGUAUAAGAGAUUCCUUUAUAUUAGCCCAUAUAAUAUAAUACACAUAUAACACUGCUGUAUUUCCUUGUUUCUUCUGUACUUAGUUCAUGCAUUCGGAUGCUCGAAAUUGCUCCAGAUUGAAUAGUGACGUUUACCUCCUUAAAUUCACAGCAUGACCAUUAAAUUUAAGUGGGGAAAAAUAUUUUGUUCAAGUUGCUAACAUGAGCAAUGAUCUAUUAUUAUCUCUUUCUGUUGUUAGAGGAGGAAAAAAAUCAAGCCCGGUAAGGCAACAGUUGCAGAUUUGGAGCUAAAGAAGCAGAAGGUUAUCCAAGGAGGUGCUGCAGUUACUUCUGUUAAAGUUUGUACCGUAUGUAACGUCGUCUGCAAUAGUGAGACAGUUUUUGCUUCGCAUGUUGCUGGGGCAAAGCAUGUUUUGAAGGUAUAACAGAUACUUCAAUUACCUACUCUAAAGUGUGACUCGUAUUUACAUGUCCUCUAUAGAAUUUGCUAGAAAUGCAUUCAGAAUUUGAGGAUUUUAUAAUUGGGAUUGAGUUUCACUUUCUCUAGAACAUUUGUAGGGUUUUCUUUAAACACUUCUUCUCUAUAACCAAUUACAUAAUGCUAAAAAUUACCAAUGUUUUCAUUUUGUGGUGCCCCAUAUCCAGUUUAAAAUAUGCCCCUCUUUUUUUGCUAAAUUAUCCUUUAAAAUGAAAUACGUGUUGAAUUUUCACAAUAAUACAAGGACAUUUGGGUAUCAUUUUUCUCACUACUAGUAGAUUAUCUUAUCAUCAAGUUCAUUAUCUUUCGUUUUCGCAGGUCCUAGGGAAACCUUCAGUAGGCGCGGCCCCGACAGUCCAUAACCUUUUAAAACCCACUUAUGUCGUUAAAAAGGUGAAAAAUCCAGUAGCUAAAAGCUUAAAGAAGAAAUUGAAGGAUAUUACCCAGGUUCUUCAGCCGAUCUAUUGUGAUGUUUGUAAGCUUUAUUGUAACAGCCAAGAAGUUUAUAAUAGCCACAAAAUGGGGAAAAAGCACAAGAAAAACGUAGAGAAACUAAACCAAUUGAUGGCGCCUAAGCCCUCAAAUGCUGACACAUCUGCCGCCAAUAAAGGAAAUGAGGCGAACGAUGAGGCGAAGAGAAAAGCUAAGGAGGAGGAUUUGGAAGCCAAGAAAAGGAAGAUUCUGGUAGGAGGGGCUGCUACUGAUUUGGUCAAGGUCUGCACUCUUUGCAAUGUUGUUUGUAAUAGCCAAGGCGUGUUUGACUUCCAUAUCGCGGGAAAGAAGCACGCUGCGAUGUUAAAGAAGCAACAGCAGAGAACGACUAGCUGAAUAAGUCAGGUGUGGAUGGUAAUGUGAGUUGCUUCGUGGCUCUGGAUUUUUUUUUUUUUUUAACUGUUUCCGGUUUAAUUAUUCGCGUGCCAGGCUUAAACAAUUACGCUUUUAUUCAGCAUUGGAUUAUAGAAUUUCCCUUUGUCGUGUCGGAAGAUGCAUAAUUUAUUUAAUUUUACGUCAGGGGAUUGUUAAAAUUUAGCGGUGCUUGUCUAAAAUUUCUGAGUUUUAAAACCGUUUGUCUUUUAGGUUUUCAGUGUAAUAUUCGCCGCUUAAUCGACUGAAAUUAGCUCAUCCGUAACGCGUCUUUGGGAAACUAUUUUCACAUCUUUCCUGAUUCCUGUGAACAAGUGAUUCUUUGAGGCAUCAGCUGUUACCUUUUUCAGUGCAAUCCUGGUACAUUGUAUGUGUACCUUUAAUCAAAUAUAUAUUGGGCCUAUGCAUAAUGUUUAUUGCAUUUCCUUUCCGUUUUAUCGAUAAAUUAUUGUCCGCUUGCUGUUUGCUUUGGCUUCUGGAACAAUUUCUCUGCUUUCAAAAUCAACUAGAUGUUCACCCAAUGAAAAGUUCGAUGCUUAUGUUAUGGUAGGAAGAUCAAAUGAGUUUCUGAGUUUUGAAAUGGAAGAUUCAGUUUGAAGCUUAUGGUUGAGUUGAGUGGGUUCUUGUACUUCACCGAAAUAGAAUGUUUUGCCUUUCUGGGUUAGGAGGAAUUCUACACUGUCACACUUGCACCACGUCAUCAAUAACAANCAAAUUAGUCUUAUUUUUUAUACAAUAAAAAAUCUAAAAUUCUAAAAUAUUUUCAAUUUUAACAUUAUCGCAAUUUAAAAGAGUGUUUGAAGAUUUUUUUUUUUGUUUUUUAUCAACGUGCAUCUGUCUCACUUUAAUCCACUGUGUAUCUGUUUGUUCCUUCCAAUUUCACGCUUGAAAGUGUUGAAUGACAACAUAAGAAAAAUACUUCCACAAAUUCAUCAAAUAAUGUGUACAAUUAGCAAAUCUACAGUUUGUUGACCGCCUAUUCCCCUCCUCCCUCCUGCAUCAUCCUUCUUCCAGUUUGUUAUCCUUUAAGCCAUGUCCCUUCAUGACGAUUUUUCUACUUUUCCUCUGCAAACGUAAUGGUAGCCUGUCAAUGAUUGAAUAUACUGACAAGCUUUCAUGGAGAAGAGUGAGUGCUGAAUUAUACUUCCAUAUGCUUCUUGCGGUUUAGACACAAGACUGCCUUCCUUCCAAGGGGGUGGGAGGUUGUCCUGAUGGGAGAGAAGACUACACGCCAACGUCGCUCAUUUGAGCGUUGGAGAUUGGACUGGUACCGGCCGAGGAAUGCACUGUUAGAAAGAUUGUUGCACCAUAAGUUUUCGCGUUGCUGCUUUGCGUUACACUAUUAUCUCUGUUACGGGCCGCGCAGUUCUUGACUUUUAGCUUUAAAAAUUUUAGAUAGCAAACAACGGAACUGGCGAAUAACGGGACGGAUGUGAUCCGAGUUCUGAAAAAAAUGAGGUUACAUAAAACGGAAGAGAUACAUUUAAUGUUCGACAUGUCCGUACGUUAAGAUAUACGUAUCUCAAAAAUACGUGAAAGACGUUAAUAUACGAGAAGCAUUUUGAUUAGUUUACUGAAAAUUCGAUCCGAAUCUACAAAACUAAAAAAAUGGCCCAUAUUUACAAAAGCGCAAAACUAAUAAAUCUUUUAUACAAAUUGGUCUUAUUUUUUAUUCAAUAAAAAAUCUCUAGUAAAUUUUUUAUACAAAUUGGUCUUAUUUUUUAUGCAAUAAAAAAUCUAAAAUUCUAAAAUAUUUUCAAUUUUAACAUUACCGUAAUUUAAAAGAGUGUUUGAAAUUUUUUAUUUUUAUUUUUUAUCAACGUGCAUUUGUCUCACUUUAAUUCACUGUGUAUCUGUUUGUUUCUUCCAAUUUCACGCUUGAAGCUAUUGAAUGACAACAUAAGAAGAGUCAUUCCACAAAUUCAUCAAACAACAUGUUUGAUUACCAAAUCCACAGCAUUUAACUCGUCGAAAGUUAUAAUUAAGAAAAAUUAAACAAAUAAACAACAAUACAAGUUCAAAAUUAACAAUAGAGCAAUAAAAGAAGCACCUUUACGAAUAAAUCCCCCAAUUUUUUAAAAUUUCCACCUUUUAGGGUUUCAACGAUCCCAAAAGCCUCUACAUCCGAACCCCUCACAACAACAACGACAACAACAACCACAAAGAGGAAAAAACCAAACACAAACGGAAACCCUAACCCUAGGGAACCAAAACCGAAACCCUAGCUCGAUCACCCGCCGAAGCCAUAGAGGGUGCGGCCCUGGCGCUUGAGGGCGUAGACGACGUCCAUGGCGGUGACGGUCUUGCGGCGGGCGUGCUCGGUGUAGGUGACGGCGUCGCGGAUGACGUUCUCGAGGAAGAUCUUGAGCACGCCGCGCGUCUCCUCGUAGAUGAGCCCGCUGAUGCGCUUCACGCCGCCGCGCCGCGCCAGGCGCCGGAUCGCGGGCUUCGUGAUCCCCUGGAUGUUGUCGCGGAGAACCUUCCGGUGCCGCUUCGCCCCGCCCUUCCCCAACCCCUUCCCCCCCUUCCCCCGCCCCGACAUCGCCCUCGCCCAAACCCUAGAAAAGUAGAAACCUAGAAAGUAGAAGCGCGUCGGAGAGUGGAAUUUGUGGAUUUCGCGACGAGGUCUUAUUAGGGUUUGGGGAAUCAAUCGGGGAUUUAUAGAGAGAGUGAGAGGAGGGACUAGGGCCUUUUUUUUUAUUUAUUGGAACUGGGGAUUUGGGGGGAAUUGGGCGAAUCGGAGAGGGAAGAGGAAAAUGGUGUGGUGGAUUCGUUGAUUGGUGGGUUUUGAGCCGUUGGAUUUGUAAACUUAUUGACGGUUGUGAUUGGAUGAGCUCUGUUGGGCCGGAUCGAUGACGUGGUCGGUUUUACACCUGCAGGUAGCUGCGUUAGCUUUUGGACUAUUUUGUUUGUGUGUGUGUGUGUGUGUGUGNAGGAGGAAUUCUACACUGUCACACUUGCACCACGUCAUCAAUAACAAACCAAUCACAUUCCUUCUUUUCAAACAAAAGUACAAUAAAAAUACUUUUUUACAAUCAUGAUGGGACAUAUAUUCUUAAAAGAAUUAAUUUGAUUGGUUUGUUACGCCACGUCACUAAUAUACCUGUUGCAUUCUAGAAUUUUUUCUGGGUUAGGCCUUUUGGAACUAUCAUCAUACAAACUUUGAAUGAUGCAUUGAAGAGUAAGAUAAAUAAAUAUAUUCCUUGUGGUGUCAUCAUCAACAUUGGCUGUUGUUUGUUGAAUAACAAAAUGCAAUGUGCUUCUGCUAGAAUGAAUAUACAAUGUACAUUGUUUACCAAUUCCACAUUCAGAUAAAAAAACAAAGUCAAAUAGAAAAUAAUUAUUGUAUUCUAACUCAAAUUUAAAUAGUUAUUGC